rnacentral:rRNA from 1 species
UACGUAGGGGGCAAGCGUUAUCCGGAUUUACUGGGUGUAAAGGGAGCGUAGACGGCGAUGCAAGCCAGAUGUGAAAGCCCGGGGCUCAACCCCGGGACUGCAUUUGGAACUGUGUGGCUGGAGUGUCGGAGAGGCAAGUGGAAUUCCUAGUGUAGCGGUGAAAUGCGUUGAUAUUAGGAGGAACACCAGUGGCGAAGGCGGCUUGCUGGACGAUGACUGACGUUGAGGCUCGAAAGCGUGGGGAGCAAACAGG